rnacentral:rRNA from 1 species
UAGGGAAUCUUCGGCAAUGGACGGAAGUCUGACCGAGCAACGCCGCGUGUGUGAAGAAGGUUUUCGGAUCGUAAAGCUCUUUUGUUAGAGAAGAACGUUGGUAGGAGUGGAAAAUCUACGGAGGGACGGAAACUAAGCAGAAAGGGACGGCUAACUACGUGCCAGCAGCCGCGGUAAUACGUAGGUCCCGAGGGUUGUCCGGAUUUAUUGGGCGUAAAGCGGGGGCAGGCGGUUCUUUAGGUCGGAAGUUAAAGGCAGUGGUUUAACUAGUGUACGCUUUGGAAACUGGAGGACUUGAGUGCAGAAGGGGAGAGUGGAAUUCCAUGUGUAGCGGUGAAAUGCGUAGAUAUGUGGAGGAACACCGGUGGCGAAAGCGGCUCUCUGGUCUGUAACUGACGCUGAGGCUCGAAAGCGUGGGGAGCAAACAGG